rnacentral:lncRNA from 1 species
GUGUUGAAGGGGUCUUAGUGGCUUGAAUGAAGGUGCCAUUUCAACAUAUUCAGUGCUGGCCUUUGUCAUGAGAAGUACAUCAAGCAAUCAUAAACCAGGGAAGCAUUUCCUAAAUGAAAUACUGUCAGAAUAUUCACUCUCUGGCCUCAGUCGAUUACCACUCGAUCCAACUACAUCCACCCAUUUUCCUCUGGAAAAAUGUCUGCUCGGAGAAAGCCCCAGUCCCAAGCCCAGCCCAGCUGUCCUCAGCAGACAGACACGGCUCCACCUCCACCUCAGCCCUCUGCCUCUGCAAGGCCUCCCCUGGCAUAAAGUGACAGGAAUAAGACAGGACAUGCUCGAACUUGAGAAAAUUCCCCAUGUGUGUAAAGACUAGUGAUGCUGAGUGCCGCAGACCAGGAGGUCAGAGAAUAAGACCCGUGGGAGCCCAGAUGAGCAGCACCUUCUUCCCAUCAGGCGUGGGUGCAGGAGUCCUCGAGGAAAUGACGAGCCUGGGCUGGGUCCAGAAGGACGGAAGGCUGUGGACUGAACCAGGAGGGAGGAACACAAUGUUCCAGGCAGCAGCAGGAGCCAGGAAGUGUGGGCGCUCAUUGAGAGGCUUGUAACCAAUGCAGGCCAGUGGGCACCCGGCACAGGAAGGGGAGCAAGGUGAGGUCGGGAGGGCUUAAAUACCACGCCAGGGACCCAGACUGCCUGCAAUGGGGAGCCAUCAGGAGCUUUUAAGUCAGGGAGGGUCUGAUUGUUCCUUUCCUUUUUUUUUUUUUUGAGACAGAGUCUUGCUCUGUCACCCAGGCUGAAGUGCAGUGGCGCGAUCUCAGCUCACUGCACCGUCUGCCUCCCGGUCAAGCAAUUCUCCUGCCUCAGCCUCCCAAGUAGCUGGGAUUACAGGCACCUGCCACCGUGCCCCGCUAAUUUUUUUAUUUUUAGUAGAGACAGGAUUUCGUCAUGUUGGCCAGGCUAGUCUUAAACUUCUGACCU